GAACGCGCAUUGCGCUCUCGGGAUUUCCUGAGAGCAGGUCUGCUUCAGUGCUUAGC
rnacentral:rRNA from 4 species